CCGGCGCACGGGUGAGUAACGCGUACCCAACCUGCCGUCUACUCUUGGACAGCCUUCUGAAAGGAAGAUUAAUACAAGAUGGCAUCAUGAGUCCGCAUGUUCACAUGAUUAAAGGUAUUCCGGUAGACGAUGGGGAUGCGUUCCAUUAGAUAGUAGGCGGGGUAACGGCCCACCUAGUCUUCGAUGGAUAGGGGUUCUGAGAGGAAGGUCCCCCACAUUGGAACUGAGACACGGUCCAA
rnacentral:rRNA from 1 species